UUUUUUUUUUUUUUUUUUUUUAGGGCUGCACCUGGCAACACAUGGAGGUGCCCAGGCUAGGGGUCCAAUGGGAGCUAUAGCUGCCGGCCUAUGCCACAGCCACAGCAACAUCAGAUCUGAGCCACGUCUGCAACUUACACCACAGUUCACAGCAAUGCUGGAUCUUAACCCACUGAGCAAGGCCAGUGAUUGAAUCUGCAGCCUCAUGGUUCCUACUUGGAUUAUUUUCUGCUGUGCCACAAUGGGAACUCUUAGCUAAAUAAAUUUUAAAUAAUCUUUAUACUAUUGAAUUUUCAGAAUGGGGAACUCAGUCUACCUAUCAAUUUUUUUUCAAAUUAUUUUUUAUUAUAGACUUGUUUUUGAAACAAACUUAAACAUACAGAAAAGUUGUCAGCAGAAAACAAAUGCCUGAUUUUUUUCUCCUAAGCCAUUUGCCCAUCCCUCCUUGAAAUACUUUAUUGUUCAUUUCCUAAGAAUAAGGAUAGUGUGCUUCCUAAUCAUAAUGCAACCACCAAAGUCAUGAAAGUAACAUCAGUAUAUUACUCCAUCUAAUUUUCAGAUCCCGUUAUUUGUCAAGCAUUCCAGUAAUGUCCUUUAUAACAAAACAAUCCAGUUUGGAAUUUAGCUGUAUUUGUAUUUAGUUGCCAUAUCUCUUUAGCUUUGUUUAAUCUGGUACAGUUUCUCAAUUUUACUUAAACUUCAUAAUUUUGACACUUUUAAGAAUUAUAAGACAAUUGUUUGGUCGUCAGUUCAUUUGUUUGAUGUUUCCUCACAAUUAGCUUUAGAGCAUGCAUCUUUGGGAGGAAUAUCACAGAAGUGAUACUGUGUUGUUCUUCACUGAAUCCUCUCAGGUGGCUCUUUAUUAAGGUGAUGACUGCUAGUCUUCCUCCCUGUAAAAUUACAUUUUUUUCCCUUCAUAGUAAAUCACUAUUUUGAAGAUGCAUUAACAUUACAUAAAUAUCCCAAUUCCCAGGUAACUUUUAGUUAGUUAACUGCUUUUUAUCAGGAUGCACUCAUGAUAUUCACUUUUAUUUAAGGGUUCCAAUAAGUUACGCUGUUUUUUCUUUUUAUGUUCAAGUUUUCUCUUAAACGGUGGGAGCAUUUCAGAGUAGAUCUUGUGACCUUUUGACAUGUCUCUAGGCCUAAUGUCUGGCACAGUAAGCUGCUCUAGUCUCAUCUAGUACUUUUCCUUCUCCAGCUCUGAAACCAGGCAUUUCUCCAAGGUGCACUAUUUGCUUUUUUAAAAAAAAAAUGUUGAAAUGUGUUACUUACAAUGUUUUGUUAGUUUCAGGUAUACAACAGAGUGAUUCAGCUAUAUAUUCAUAUAUAUGUGUAUAUACUUUUUUUGCAUUCUUUUCUGUUACAGGUUACUGUAUGAUGUUGAAUAUACUUCCUUGUGCUGUACAGUAGGUCCUUGUUGGUUAUUUAUUAGUGUAUAAAUUUUAAACCCAAACUCCUAACAUAUACCUCCCUCUCUUUCCCCUUUGGCAACCAUAACUUUGUUUUCUAUGCCUGUGAAUCUGUUUCUGUUUUGCAAGUAAAUUCAUUUGUAUCAUUUUUUUAUUAGAUUCCACAUAUAAGUGAUUUUUUGUCAUUUACACUUAGUUUCUCGAGGGAAAAGAGUAGUUUUUGACAAAUAAGAAGUAAGUGUAGUUGAAAUCAUACAGUAUGUAGCAUUUUCAGUUUGGCUUUUUUCAGUUAGUAAUAUGCAUUUAAGGUUCCUUCAUGUUUUGAGAGCUCAUUUUUUUCAGUGCUGAAUGAUGUUCCAUUAUCUAAAUGUGGCAUGGUUUGUUUAUCUACUUUCCUCCUGGGGAGCAGGUUGCUUCCAAGUUUUGACAAAUAUGAAUAAAGCUUCUAUAAACAUCUGUGUGCAGGUUUUUGUGUGAACAUUAGUUUUCAAAUUCUUUGAAUCAAUACAAAGAAGUAUGGUUGUUGGAUGUAAUGGUAGAAGUAUGUUUAGUUUUGUAAGAAAUUGCCAAAUUGUCUUCCAAACUGGCUGUACCAAUUGCUUACAACCAGCAAGGAAUGAGAGUUCCUGUUGCUCUGCAUCCUCAGUAUAGUGUUUGGUGUUGUCAGUGUUCUGAUUUUGGCCAUCCUGAUAGGUGGGUAAAGGUAUCUCAUUGUUGUUUUAAUUUGUAUUUCCCUGAUAACAUCUGAUGUGGGACAUCUUUUCAUGAGUUUAUUUUCCAUGUGUGCUCCUUCUUUGGUAGAGUGCCUUUUAAGGUCUCUAGCCCAUUUUAAAAAUCAGGUUGUUCAGUUUUAAGGAUCCUUUAUAUGUUUUUGAUAGCAGGCCUUUAUCAGAUGCAACUUAAAUAAAUAUGUUCUCUCAGUCUGUAGCUUGUCUUCUCAUUCUCUUUCACACUGUUUCUCAGAGAGCAGUUUUUCACUUUAAUGAAGUCCAGCUUAUCAAUUACUUCUUUCAAGGAUCACACCUUUACUGUUAUAUCUCAAAAGUCAUUGUUAUACCCAAAGUCAUCUAGACAUUCUUUUAUGUUAUCUUCUAGAGGUGACUAUUUCCUUUUAGAGGAAAAAUAAUACUUAAAAGUCAAGAUCUAGGUACCAGGUAUUACUAUUGGAGUGUUAACUCCCUCUAGACUCUCUCAGUGGACAGAGCUGGGGAAUAUAUAUAGUCACACAUUUAUAUCAAUAUUUCUAUAUCUUUCUACCUAUUUAAAACAAUGAGUUUACAUUAAUAAUUCAAAUUCUAAUCAGACAACACAUAAUUCAUUCUGGUCUUGUUCCUUUCCAUAUUUGCAAAUUUUGCAAAUUUCUUAUCUGUUAGUGAGGAACAUGGCUUCCAGUAUUCUUAAGGUACGUACUCAUUUGACAAAUUCCCCUGCUACUGCUCCUUUCCCUGCAUAGAUGCCCUCUUGUGCUCUGAUAGCCCUUAUUGGGCUAUUCCCUGCAUGAACACCCUCUUUAUCUCCUUUGGGCUCCAGAGAUGCUCUCCUCUGUGUAUGCUCUCCUCACCCUGCUAAUGUUCUGACAUCCCACACUGGGUUUCCUCACUGUGUGGAACCCCUCCUUAGCCUCCCAGGCUCUGGUUGCUCUGGGCCAUCAUGGAUCCAUGUUCUACCUUACUCUGCUUUAUCCAAUUACUUUGACUUAAUUGUUUAGAAGGAAAAAUAAAAGGGAGGUAAGGAAGCCAGAUUUUUUUAUGACCCUUAGUAAAAUCUAUACUUUCUUGUUAUUUUCUUUGUUAGAUUCCUAGCCAUUUUAUAUUGUUGUUUGUACAGCAAACACUUUUCCCCUCUAUUUUUAUGUUAUUUUUGGUAUAUGGGGAAAUUUUAUUUAUAUGUUGAGUGUUUAAUUUAUAACCAGCCAAGUUUUUAAGCUCUUCUGUAUAGAUUUAAUCAUUUUCAAUUUAGGAAGCAUAAUUUCAUCUUCAAAGAGUAAUCUUUUUGCUUCUUCCUCAUGUGCAUUUAAUCAGACUUUUCCUAGAACAUGGUUUCUUAUCAUUUUAUGCAUAGUGGAAGUUUUCUUAAACAGAAGUUCUUUGCAGUUGAGAAGCCCUUAGCUUAGGUCGUGUAAUUUGUAUUUGUAGGAAAAGUAUCUAUAUAAAAGUGUCCAUAAAAUUUAUUGCUUAGUAUUGAGUUGUUUCUGAUUUAUAUUCUGAUUAGUACAUUAACAUAUAUAAAUGUGUUAAAUUUAAAUAGUGAGGGCCUUUCAACAUAUGUAAGAAUCAGCUAACAUACUGAUUGAUCUUUAAACUUUUUUCAUUCCAGACCAUAGAAAUAGAAAACCCAUGUUUAUACAUAAUUCUAGAAGCUACUAAAUCCUAAAUCCUUAAUCAGAUGGUGGGAAUCAGGUGGGAUGGGGAAUUUAUGAAAUUAAAACUGUUUAUUAUGACUGAUUCAUAUUAGACAAUUUUAGACCUCCUUGAAUUACUCAGAAUAUUCUUCCAUCAAGUUUCUGUUCAUUUCCUAAAAUCUUCCAAAACAUCAAAAGCAUAGCAAAGUAAAUUUUAGUGUUCAUAUUCUUCUGAAAUAAUACGUGAACUCUUUGUAGCAGUGGUUUUCACACUUUAAUAGGCAUAUGAGUUACCUUUGUAUGGGGGCUUGGAAUUUGCAUUUUCAUGUAAUAUUUCAGGUGAUUUCAGUUUCAUGGGCUCCAUCUAAGAAACACUAAUUUAGAGUGAGACAAUGUUUAAAUAAAUGUUUCAACAAGUACACAUUUGUUCCAAGAGGAACAAACAGAAGUAUUUUUUCCCAGUAAGAAUAUCAGAAUUCACUGAAUAGAGGGCCUUGUGUAGUUGAAGUCAACUGUGCUCAAAAUAGGCUGUUGAUGUUCAUCAUCUCUCUGGGACCAAGAGCUAAGUUCCUUGAAUGUUCCUAUCCUUUUUUAGGGUUUUAGGAAAAUGACACCAUAUAAAAUAUUCUAAAAGGAGUUGCAAAGCUACUGUAGUCUUUAGUUAUUUAUCCAAUUUUCAGUGUUUCAGAAGCUUUCUUCCAGGGAAGAGUCAGUUCAGAAUUAUCUGUGAAUAGCUACAACAUAUUGGCUCUUGCUUGGAAUUUCCUAAGUAAAGCAUAUGUUUUGGAGGAAAUUAUUUGGUCAUUUAGUCUAAUGUAAAACUGAAAAGGUAGCCUCAAGCUCACCCAACAAUUUAAAAUAUGUGGGUGUUCGGCUCUGUGUAACUAAUGCUCUACUUUCCUUGUUGGUCUCUUUGCUUUCUGUCACUUCUAAGGGCCAGAGCUGUGAAGCUUGAGGCCACUCAGGUUCCACAUUUGUGACAAAUCCCCUAGGGCUCACUGGAGUGGCAGUAAGUUCUCACAGUUUGAUUUCCUUUCAACCAUUGAAGUGUUAGAAAAGUAGCAACAAAGACUCCCACAGAAAACAGCAAUUCUGUUUCCUGACUGUCUGCCAUCGUGAUGACUUAUCUCUUUUGUUCCAUUGAUUUUUUUUUGUUGAAUAAUUUUAAUACUUUUCUCUGUAUACUCUAUGGUAUGUUUUUCACCAACUGGCAUAAUUCUUUAACUGUGCCUAGAGUGUAGCCUUUGUUUCUCACAGUCUUGUGCCGUCUACUCCUAUCAUCUGCCCAGAGAAAAGUUGAUUUUAUUUUUAAAGAUUUCUUUAUCCUUUUAAGCUGUUAUUUUUACUUUAAAUAUAUGGUAUUUUAUGUUAUAAAGUUAGAUCCUCUUUUAAUAGUAUAGAUAUGAAUAAAAACCUCAUGUUCACUGAAACAUUAUUUUGUGAUAUUUUAGUAUCAGUUCAGUAAAAGAAAAUCAUUUUCAGGGAAAAAUGCAGUAAGUCUAUGCAUUCAGUCCAGAAGGAAGGCUAACAUUUUUAAUGAGUAUGGGAUAUUAUGAGGGAGAAGUAAUGACUUUUGGAUCAGGUAGGAAUAUCAAUAUCAAACUGCUCUGCUUUUUGUAACUUUGUUUAGAAACUGACUAAUCUACAAUAAUAAGGCCAAAAUUGAACAACAGAUAAUCUCCACUACUAGCGGUAAUAUUUUUACUUUUCAGCAUGUCUAAAACUCCCUUUUUAAAUUAACUUAUCAAAUACUAGUUGCUUGAUGGACAAAAAGGCAGAAAUGAUUAUUAUAUAGCCUUUGCUAAGAAAUUAGGAAAUUGUCUUUAAAUGACUGUCCGUAAAAACAAAACCGUUUUUCAUCAUCACUACUCAAAUCUAUUAAUUAAGAAACAUCUAGGAUUUCCCAUCAUGGCUUA
ensembl:lncRNA